UUCCGGUUGAUCCUGCCGGACCCGACUGCUAUCAGAGUGGGACUAAGCCAUGCGAGUCGACGUAGCAAUGCGUGGCGAACGGCUCAGUAACACGUAGUCAACAUGCCCAGGGGACGUGGAUAACCUCGGGAAACUGAGAAUAAACCACGAUAGGUCACGAUUUCUGGAAUGGAUCAUGGCAUAAAUCUACAUGGCCCCUGGAUUGGACUGCGGCCGAUCAGGCAGUUGGUGAGGUAAUGGCCCACCAAACCUAUAACCGGUACGGGCUCUGAGAGGAGAAGCCCGGAGAUGGGCACUGAGACAAGGGCCCAGGCCCUAUGGGGCGCAGCAGGCGCGAAACCUCUGCAAUAGGCGAAAGCCUGACAGGGUUACUCUGAGUGAUUUCCGCUAAGGGGAUCUUUUGGCACCUCUAAAAAUGGUGCAGAAUAAGGGGUGGGCAAGUCUGGUGUCAGCCGCCGCGGUAAUACCAGCACCCCGAGUGGUCGGGACGAUUAUUGGGCCUAAAGCAUCCGUAGCCAGUUCUGCAAGUCUUCCGUUAAAUCCAGCCGCUCAACGGAUGGGCCGCGGAGGAUACUAUAGGACUAGGAGGCGGGAGAGGCAAGCGGUACUCAGUGGGUAGGGGUAAAAUCCUUUGAUCCAUUGAAGACCACCAGUGGCGAAGGCGGCUUGCCAGAACGCGCUCGACGGUGAGGGAUGAAAGCUGGGGGAGCAAACCGGAUUAGAUACCCGGGUAGUCCCAG
rnacentral:rRNA from 1 species